rnacentral:lncRNA from 1 species
UAUUUAUCCUUGAUAUGUUGUUUUGUUUGCUAAAAUACCACAAACUGUGUUUUCAUAUAAUAUAUAGAUUUCAUAUACUGUUUUAAAUGAGAGAUCUUUCACUUGAACAAAAUCUGGGCUAAAGCCUUGUACUCAGUCUCGUGGUGGCUGUGUCGAGUCUUGGUGUUUGGUGUAUCUGAUCGGGCUGAGUGUAGAAAGAGGAAGGCGGUGGAGGCGGUAGCUUGCUGCCCGUUUCUGCUGGCUGGAUUUUGAGAGCAGAGGGAGACGGCAGCAUCUCCGCCGUGGCCGAGGAAGGAGACGGCGCCGUGUGGGGCGGCGUCAACCCAAAUCGGAGGGAGGAGGCGGCGCUCUCGCCGUCUCCAAGGAAGGAGGCGGCACGGAGGUGUGAGGUGUGGGUUCGGUUUUGUGAGGAAGGAGGAGAGGGGCCGAGAGAGGCCUGGCGGCGGUCGGCGAUUGCUCUCGUCUGGGAAGGGAGCGGCGCCGCGGAGCCCCUGAGAACAGAGAGAGAGAUGAGAUGGCGGCACCUUGCCGUCGAUCUGAGAGGGGAACGAGGGAGGCGGCGUUCCGGCCGGCGGGUAGCGACUUCACCGGCGGAGCUUGAGAGAGCCGAGAGAGAAAGUCUGGGAUGAAGGAAGAGGCAGCCUAUCGCCGUUGCUCCGACGGGUUCUGAGUGGAGAGCCGAGAGCGAGAGAUCUGCUUUGGUCUCUGUGUGUGUAGCUGUUUUCAAUGGAGAGAUUUCUGCGUGAGGGUGAGAUGAGAAGAAGAAAGGGGUUACAG